UAGACGAGGAGAGGGGGGAGACAUUGCACAAGGACAGGGCGAGUUGCUCUAGUGGUCAGACCGAGGCGCGGGCCCUGAUGCUUCGGAGCCUGGCUCUUCCCAGAGUGCUGACCCCCACGCCAACAGCAGCCAGAGGUCAGAGCAAGAACGCCAGCAGAGACCCCAAGAGGCAAUGCAAGGGGGACAGGGCAAGGCCACUCCUUGUCCUUACACGAAAAGAUCCGUUCUUCGAGGUGACCUUAUUGAACUCUGUUCCUCGUAAAAUCACUCUCCAGUAGAAAACACCUGGAAGAAGCACCUUCACUUUUGGAAGGCAGGGCACUCACUGGACAGCGCCAAGGAGGGCACUCGCUUUCCACGAGUGAAGAGGAACAGGUGCAAAAAGGAAGAGGAGCCCACUUGGGAGGCUUUCAAUGACUCCUCGUCUGCUCAGAGCCCGCCUUCUCUCCUGAUAUCCCCACAUGUGGACCCGUGCCUGCGUGGAUUCAGCCUGCUUUGGGGCCCCUUCUGUUUGUCAGCUGCCAUGUCCCCGGUCGCCUGCUCUGCUCAUGGUGUGUGCAAAUGUGGACGUGGAGUCUGGGAUCAGAAAUAUACCUGCCGGGAUUUUGACUGGGGCCGCACCGAAUCUGGGUCAACCUGGAGACAAUCGGCAUCUUCACAACGUUGAGUGGCCAGCGCUCGCCCUAUCUGUGAGUCUUUAUUUCCUUUGAGCACUGUCUUGAAGUUUUCUGAAUGUCUCAAAAUAGCUUUCUUUUGCCUUUACUCAGACUGUUGUUUUGCUGAACACAGAUUUCUAGGUUCAAGAUGAUCCUUUCUCGGAACUUUAAAGAUACUGCUCCAUUCCUGCCAUUUUAGCACUUAGCGUUAGAAAU